AAAGCAAAAGAAUAUUUUUGAUUCUAAUGCCUUCAGAAAUCGGAUUAUUUCUGCACCCGCAGGUAAAGCAGCAGUAAAUCAACUUCCCUCAAUUUCUGAGUCAAGACUCCCGCUCUGCCUUUACAAAAAUCCCCUAAGUUUCUGAUAGCCUUUUUAGCUAUCCCUCAUAAGCUUUGAAAAGAAUGUUUACAAGGCUUUCUUUGUAUAAUUGUCUCAUAUAAAGAGUUUAGGGGAAUGUGAUUGUGCCAAUUGGAAGGAACAGAAGAAGGUUUUUCCACUUUGAAGGAAAAUCUCUUGAACAAUCAAACAGCUGUCCAUUAAAAGAAGAUUAGGUACUUAGCCUGUACGUCUACGUAUUUAGAAUACACCGGACAGAAAUAUGUUCCUCAAGACUAUUAAGAAUCUCAAAAGUGGAAUUAACAGACAACACAACCCUGACAUCAUGAAACGACGAGGGUGGAACGCAGAGCACAAAUUCACAAACGGAGUAAAACAUUCCGACCGGCUGCAUUCCUGCUCUGCAUAUUUGUGAUGUGAUUCAAGGCGCAAAAGAAUUGUGAGCAUCAAGAGCAGCUCAUUCAUCACCGGUUUCGCAAUGCUCAGUUUCUAAUUUUGGAAAGGCUUUGCAUGCCCUCACUACACGUUGGCAAGAGCGUGGCUAAACAGAAGACGGAGAAUCAGGUAUGAACUUAAGUACAACAUUCACUCCACGCUAUCUUUUCCCACGAUGCCUGGCGACGGUGCCUUGGUAAGACCAAAUGGUUCGCAUGUCCUGCAUUUGGUGCGGACCACACCGAGUCCGUUUGGAAGCCUUCUCAAAAGGUAGGUCUCAGUUUGGUUGUUUGUUGUCCCUGUACAAUUCAAUUGAUGAAAUAUUUUCGAGAGCCAAGGUAAAAUCCGACAACCGAGAUCAUGUGGUUGCACAAGUGUGCACCCUCUCUUAUAACAGGCGCCGUAGAUGAGUCAGAAUUAACUAAUCACAAUAAAACUAACGUUAAGUGGGAGUCAGCGCACACCCAAAACCUUUCAAAGUACCUCUGAUUAACCCCAAAUAAAGUUCUGUUGUUCUAGUUGGCACAUCUUUGCAUUUUCAUUCCAAGCAAAUGGCUGAAGGUUUUUUGCCAACCACCACAAUCCACCUUGACGAAGGCCCAGAUCCAGCUGAAGAAAAACAUUGCCAAAGAACGAUUUUGCCACAAUCAUGCUUCACUGUAGGUUGGUAGGUGGGUAGGUAGGUGUUUCUUUGGUUAUGACCCCUUAGGAUGGUUUUAUUUUGUAGGAUUAACCUAUACCUACUCCAGAGCCUAGACACAUGAAGAAGACGGGAGGUGUAUUAAGCAAGCUGUACUUGCAAGAAAAUCAUGCAGUUGCUGGCAUUUUGCUGUCAGCCUCCUGUCAGCGUCCCAUGGCCAGUUUUAUUUUCAUUAGUUUUGGAAGUAGGUCUGGUUCUUGGAAAUAUUGUUGCAGUGUAAUAUCUUCUCCUUUGGACAAUAACUGUGUUUAUUGUUAUUUAUUCUGAUUUUUACUUCUAUGACUUUUAUGGAUGAAUUCUACAGGUUGCAGCUCACAUUAAUGGUGGAACAUGUUUUAAAUACUUUAUUUUGGGUUAUUUUUUUCCAACCUGAAAUUCCGACAGAUGUGUGUCGAAUUCUGUAUAUCAGGGAAUAGAGCAAGACUAGCCACAAGAAGAGACAAGGACAUGAGGAAAUUUAGUAGCGCAUAAUGCAAUUUGUUUUGUACAAAGCAAGAGAGCCAAUAGACAAAUAAUUACAUCAUACCGGAUGUUGUUUCCAGAGCACAGUAAUUUGCCUCUAUUUGUUAUGCUCAGAGAUAUAGCAACACAGAACCUCUGAUGGCUUUCUCUUGUAUUAUUGUCUCAUUAGUGCUUUCUUUUUCUGUCCCUUCAGAUUGUCUGUCUGCAUAAGAUGUCAGUACAUCAACAUUAAGAACAUGAGCUGGAAGAAGAAAGCAGUACAAUAAUAUUCAUCAACAAAUUAGAAUCAUCAUCAUCAUCAAAACUAGCUGGCCCAAGUGCCAUAGACAGUGUGAAAUUUACGAUGCAGUAUAUUCACUUACAUAAACAGGCCGAGUAAAUUAAAAUGUACUUUGAUAGACAUGAU